AAGGACAUAUGCCUGCACAACCGUUUCACUGCCAGGCUCUUCAAAAGCACAAGCAGAGUAAGAGAGGUUGGAUCCUUCUGGUGGCAAUUCAGUACGUCUUUCAAUGGCCCAGCCACAACCAGGCAUGUCCUCACCAUCUGCUGUACAGAAAUCCCUCUGCACGUCCCUUUCCAGGAGAUGUAUGGGAUCAUGUGUGCCCAUGUUGGUGUGAUUUGCCAUAGGUUAAGUAGGACUUCAGCAGUACAAGCAUGAACAGGCAGAGCACGCUGGCUAUGAUUACAUCAGAAGACUGAGGGAUGCACACAAUCUCCCUGCUGUCAAGCCACAAAGCAGGAAUUCCCAAGUGAUGUCAGAGUAAGGUCUGCUCAAUACGAGGAGCCUUUGACACGGAAGCAGAAGUUUUCCAAGCUGUACUUUGAAGUGUGGUAGGUUCUGGCUAAUAAAACUGCUUUUCAUCCAGAGAGUCUCUAGAUAUGCCUAACACAUCUGGAUAUACCCAGAUUAACUUCCUGAGUCAGACCAGAUGUUGGUUCAUGUUCUCCAUUUGCCACUGAAGAAAGCUCAGUGUAACUACAACUGAAGCAGCUCUGUUGCCUUCAGUAGAAGGGGGAUGUCUGCUUAUAUCAGGAUUAAACUUGGUGCUCAAACGUCUACUGCUCCCAAAGCCUUGCUCUGAUAGAACAAUCUCUGUAUUCCCAAAGCUUUAAGAAAUUCCCAAUGUGCAAAGUGCAGCAGUAGGCAGAGAUGCUGCUUCAGAAGGUUCCCUAAGUAACAAGAAUCAGCAGUAGCAUCUCGUGUCAAAAAGAAAUGAUGCAAAACAACAUUUUUUUGU
rnacentral:lncRNA from 7 species